UUUAAACAAGCAGCUCUUAACGCUGCAGGUCGCCUAGGAAACAACGCGGCUUCUGCGUAGGCUGGAGAACGUGAAAUCACUCCAACUGCGAGCUCAGGAGGACUUCAUUUCCCGGCAUGCAGUUCCAGUUCCACGUGAUCGACCGGAGCCCUCCGGGUACGUGACCUCCGCGAAGUCGCCCCCUCCCCCGCCCUCGAAGAAGGGACAAGUGGUGACGACGUGAAAAGAUGGAGAUCGCCGGCGGAGGGCGUGGCUAGAAAACGGCCGCGCGCAGGGGGUGGGUGGGAAAUCCGGGCGUCGGGAGCGCGCACAGUGGCAACUCGGCGGUGGAGACGCGCGACAGGUCCCAGAAGAGAUCCGGGUGGGGGGCCGCGCGUGGAGAGAGAGAGGGUGACAGGGUGCACCGCUUUUUUCUUCCCCCAGGAAACCGGAGCCGGAAGGCUGAAAUUCACCAAGCAAGACAAUCAAUCUGAAAUUCAGAAGGCUUUUCAUCGAUGACAUGAAACCUUAAAAACUGAAGACUGGGUUAAUGAGAAGAUGGGAGCAGCAAGCAGCAGCAUUCAUGACCUCCCAGAAAAUGAAUAUUUAAAGAAACUGUCAGGACGAGAAGCCAUCUCUGAGAAUGACCCGUUUUGGAAUCAGUUGCUUUCUUUUAGCUUUACUAUCCCAAC